AUGGAGUGCAGGAAGAUGAAGCCCGUCCUUGCUCUCGUGCUGCUGCUGUCGUGCCAUCUUCUUCUUCCGCUGGUCUCCUCUGUGCCCGUGUCGAGAAGCGUGUCCUUGGCAAAUCAUCAAGCCUCAGCUUCUAGUCUGACUCCGGAGGCGGUGCCUGUUCAGGGCGUCGUGACGACGGGCGCCGAGGAGCAAAGCGUCGUCGGCGAAGUGGUGGCGCGGAUGGACAUCGAGAUCAACGACUACCCUGGAUCCAGCGCCAACGGCCGCCAUGAGCCGCCUAGGAGCCCUGGGAGGGGGUGA
rnacentral:rRNA from 1 species